CUUAUGGUUUGUCUCACUCCAGACAAACCACGAACAGUAACUAAAGGUUUGUUCUUGGUUUACUGCUCUUGGUUUGUCUGGAGUGAGACAAACCAC